rnacentral:lncRNA from 1 species
AAAUACCUUUGAAAGUUUCAAGGGGUAUUUUGGUCAUUAUAUUUUAUUGAAAAUUUAUUUUUAAUAUUUUUUAUUGGUGCGCCCCAAUGAGAAGAUUCCACAUACAAAAUUUCAUAUUCAUAAAAUUUGUAUUAAAAAAACUAAAAAUAAAAUACUUUGAGACGUCGGAUCUAAGAUCAAAUGGUGAGUGGCUCUCUUGAUCAAAAUUGGACACCUGGAUGGUAGGGGAAGGAUAGAACUUCUAUGUUAUAGGGGAAGCAUAGAAACCUUUCUUGACAUCGAGAUAUAUGAUGAAAAAUAAAAAGAUUUUAAGUCUCAGACAUAGUGCAUUUUACAAUAUAUUAUCUACAACGUCCACUU